UCCGUAAGAAGAUAAGGGUCGAAAGACGAAGGUAGGGAGAGGCAUCCCUUCUUGUGAAGGCAGUGCUUGGUGGGAAGACGAUGGUGAAACAACGGUGCAAAUGGAGAGGAAGAGCUUCGUGGGAAGGAAGAUGUGGAAAGACGAAGGGAGGGAGAGUUCGUGGGAAGAUGAAGGGAGGGGAUCUCUUUGGGAUGAAACGAAUCGUUUAAGUAUUUGACUAAAACGGAACGUUUCAUUUUUCACGUGGGCACCGGUUCCCCUGCGAUUACGCACGACUACUGCAUUUAGCU